rnacentral:rRNA from 1 species
GACGAACGCUGGCGGCGUGCCUAACACAUGCAAGUCGAACGGAAAGACCCUGCUUUUUGGGGGCGCUGACGUUACCAGCGGGUGAGUAACUCGUGAGUGAGCUACCUUUCUCUUUGACUGAGCUUACUGCAGGUGGCGCUAAUAAAGGAUAGGUGCUAUUUCGGCAUGCUGGGGGUUAGAAAGAUUCGGCGGUCGGCUGUGGAUUCGGGGCGUAUCAGCUAGUUGGUGGGUUAAUGGGUAACCAAGGCAUUGACAAGUAGCCGACCUAAAAGGGUGAUCGGCCACACUGGGAGUGAGACACGGCCCAGACUCCUACGGGAGGCAGCAGUAGGGAAUCUUCCGCAAUGGACGAAAGUCUGACAGAGCAAUGCCGCGUGAGUGAAGAAGGUUUUCGGAUCGGAAAACUCUGUUGUAAGUGAAGAACAAGUACGUUAUUAACUGAACGGACCUUGACGGUACCUUACCAGAAAGCCACGGCUAACUACGUG